ensembl:lncRNA
GCAAAUGAUGUCCAGUAAGGGAGGAGAGGUACUGCAUGCUGGUGCUGUCCUACUCCUGGAGGUGUAUUGGGUCAGUGCUGGUGCUGUCCUACUCCUGGAGGUGUUUUGGGUCGGUGGGAGUGCCUGGUGUGCUUUUGUAAAGUGCAGGGCUAACGUUUCACUGAGUUGGUGGUAGAGUAAGGUGGCUGGGGACUGUGUGUGUGUGGAAACUACACAUCCUACUAUUGGAAAGAAAAAGAAAACAAAGACAGAGAGCGAGAGAGAGAAGCAGCUGGUAUCCAGUGACAGGCUUCAGCGUCAAGCUAACUUCCCAGGGAAAGCCCAGGAGCUGCAAAUUUGUGCCUUUGAAAGCAGCCCAGCUACUAUCCCUGAACACAGGUCCCAAUCAGGCCUCAUCAAGAGGAGGAUAUAAGGACCCAAGGAAAGCAGCUCCGGGCAGCAGGAAGACAGGAAUGAGAGAAGACUGGGCAGCUGUACUCCGUCCCACAGGAUUUUACAUUUCAGUUUUGAUUGUGUUUCUUCUGCCACUUCCUGUUAAUACAGAUGUGCUCAAAAGUUUGCAUACCCUUGGAGAAUUGGUCAUAUAUGUACCAUUUGUAAAGAAAACAUGAUUGAACAGGA